rnacentral:rRNA from 1 species
ACGAACGCUGGCGGCGUGCCUAAUACAUGCAAGUCGAACGCUUCUUUUUCCACCGGAGCUUGCUCCACCGGAAAAAGAGGAGUGGCGAACGGGUGAGUAACACGUGGGUAACCUGCCCAUCAGAAGGGGAUAACACUUGGAAACAGGUGCUAAUACCGUAUAACAAUCGAAACCGCAUGGUUUUGAUUUGAAAGGCGCUUUCGGGUGUCGCUGAUGGAUGGACCCGCGGUGCAUUAGCUAGUUGGUGAGGUAACGGCUCACCAAGGCGACGAUGCAUAGCCGACCUGAGAGGGUGAUCGGCCACAUUGGGACUGAGACACGGCCCAAACUCCUACGGGAGGCAGCAGUAGGGAAUCUUCGGCAAUGGACGAAAGUCUGACCGAGCAACGCCGCGUGAGUGAAGAAGGUUUUCGGAUCGUAAAACUCUGUUGUUAGAGAAGAACAAGGAUGAGAGUAACUGUUCAUCCCUUGACGGUAUCUAACCAGAAAGCCACGGCUAACUACGUGCCAGCAGCCGCGGUAAUACGUAGGUGGCAAGCGUUGUCCGGAUUUAUUGGGCGUAAAGCGAGCGCAGGCGGUUUCUUAAGUCUGAUGUGAAAGCCCCCGGCUCAACCGGGGAGGGUCAUUGGAAACUGGGAGACUUGAGUGCAGAAGAGGAGAGUGGAAUUCCAUGUGUAGCGGUGAAAUGCGUAGAUAUAUGGAGGAACACCAGUGGCGAAGGCGGCUCUCUGGUCUGUAACUGACGCUGAGGCUCGAAAGCGUGGGGAGCAAACAGGAUUAGAUACCCUGGUAGUCCACGCCGUAAACGAUGAGUGCUAAGUGUUGGAGGGUUUCCGCCCUUCAGUGCUGCAGCUAACGCAUUAAGCACUCCGCCUGGGGAGUACGACCGCAAGGUUGAAACUCAAAGGAAUUGACGGGGGCCCGCACAAGCGGUGGAGCAUGUGGUUUAAUUCGAAGCAACGCGAAGAACCUUACCAAGUCUUGACAUCCUUCUGACCGGUACUUAACCGUACCUUCUCUUCGGAGCAGGAGUGACAGGUGGUGCAUGGUUGUCGUCAGCUCGUGUCGUGAGAUGUUGGGUUAAGUCCCGCAACGAGCGCAACCCUUAUUGUUAGUUGCCAUCAUUUAGUUGGGCACUCUAGCAAGACUGCCGGUGACAAACCGGAGGAAGGUGGGGAUGACGUCAAAUCAUCAUGCCCCUUAUGACCUGGGCUACACACGUGCUACAAUGGGAAGUACAACGAGUCGCAAAGUCGCGAGGCUAAGCUAAUCUCUUAAAGCUUCUCUCAGUUCGGAUUGUAGGCUGCAACUCGCCUACAUGAAGCCGGAAUCGCUAGUAAUCGCGGAUCAGCACGCCGCGGUGAAUACGUUCCCGGGCCUUGUACACACCGCCCGUCACACCACGAGAGUUUGUAACACCCGAAGUCGGUGAGGUAACCUUUUGGAGCCAGCCGCCUAAGGUGGGAUAGAUGAUUGGGGUG